rnacentral:rRNA from 1 species
AGCGAACGCUGGCGGCAGGCUUAACACAUGCAAGUCGAGCGGGCACUUUCGGGUGUCAGCGGCGGACGGGUGAGUAACGCGUGGGAACGUGCCCUCUGGUUCGGAAUAACUCAGGGAAACUUGAGCUAAUACCGGAUACGCCCUUUUGGGGAAAGGCUUGCUGCCGGAGGAUCGGCCCGCGUCUGAUUAGCUAGUUGGUGAGGUAACGGCUCACCAAGGCGACGAUCAGUAGCUGGUCUGAGAGGAUGAUCAGCCACACUGGGACUGAGACACAGCCCAGACUCCUACGGGAGGCAGCAGUGGGGAAUAUUGGAAAAGGGGCGCAAGCCUGAUCCAGCCAUGCCGCGUGAGUGAUGAAGGCCUUAGGGUUGUAAAGCUCUUUUACCCGGGACGAUAAUGACGGUACCGGAGGAAUAAGCCCCGGCUAACUUCGUG